UACGUAGGGUGCAAGCGUUGUCCGGAAUUAUUGGGCGUAAAGAGCUCGUAGGCGGUCUGUCGCGUCGGAUGUGAAAAUCCAGGGCUCAACCCUGGACCUGCAUUCGAUACGGGCAGACUGGAGUACUGCAGGGGAGACUGGAAUUCCUGGUGUAGCGGUGGAAUGCGCAGAUAUCAGGAGGAACACCGGUGGCGAAGGCGGGUCUCUGGGCCUUACCUGACGCUGAGGAGCGAAAGCGUGGGUAGCGAACAGG
rnacentral:rRNA from 1 species